UACGGAGGAUGCAAGCGUUAUCCGGAUUUAUUGGGUUUAAAGGGUGCGUAGGCGGAUUAAUAAGUCAGUGGUGAAAACCUGCAGCUUAACUGUAGAACUGCCAUUGAUACUGUUAGUCUUGAGUAUGGUUAAGGUAGGCGGAAUGUGUAAUGUAGCGGUGAAAUGCUUAGAUAUUACACAGAACACCGAUUGCGAAGGCAGCUUACUGGACCAUCACUGACGCUGAUGCACGAAAGCGUGGGGAGCGAACAGG
rnacentral:rRNA from 1 species